AUUUCACAAAAAUAAUUACUUUACUACGCAAAUUUUAACUGAAAAUGUCAAAAUUCUAACUUGAAGUUUACCUGAUUUUUGCCUGAGUUUCACAGUUGGGGGUUUUACACCCCCCCCCCCCGGUCGCUACGUCCCUGGAUGCACACACGUAAAAAUGUCACAACUUUUCAACAAUAUGUGUUUGCAACAAGCUUGCAGCAAGGUCGUCAACAAGUUAGAACAAUUUUAUCAAGUUGCUACAAGUUUGCAAUUGCAACUUGUUGACAAUUUGUUGAAUUGCAAGACAACAACAAGUUGUUGGGACAACUUGUAACAAUUCUGUUGAGUCCCAACAACAUUGUAGCAAAUAGUCAACAAGGCUUUGCCAACUUGUCAAUAAGCUGCGAACACAUGCAAAUAACAAAUUGUUGAAACAGUCAAGUCUGCUGGCCGCUGCACUGGCUCCAGGUUUGUUACAAGUUGUGCAUUUUUUCAAAGCUGACUUUGCACCAUAUGCUGCACUAGCCUGCGUUUCAGUCUACUUGUAGUGAAGUGGAACACAGGUUAAUGUUGGACUGAAUAUCAGGAUUUGUGGCAUCUUAUUCGAUAAAACUAUUAAUUUCGAUCUGAUAUAUUUUUCUAACAAAAUGACCAAAUGUCUCGCCAAAUAAUGCAGUAUUGAAG